CAUAGGUUAAUGAGGCGAACCGGGGGAACUGAAACAUCUAAGUACCCCGAGGAAAAGAAAUCAACCGAGAUUCCCCCAGUAGCGGCGAGCGAACGGGGAGGAGCCCAGAGCCUGAAUCAGUGUGUGUGUUAGUGGAAGCGUCUGGAAAGGCGCGCGAUACAGGGUGACAGCCCCGUACACAAAAAUGCACAUAUUGUGAGCUCGAUGAGUAGGGCGGGACACGUGGUAUCCUGUCUGAAUAUGGGGGGACCAUCCUCCAAGGCUAAAUACUCCUGACUGACCGAUAGUGAACCAGUACCGUGAGGGAAAGGCGAAAAGAACCCCGGCGAGGGGAGUGAAAAAGAACCUGAAACCGUGUACGUACAAGCAGUGGGAGCCUCUUAAUGGGGUGACUGCGUACCUUUUGUAUAAUGGGUCAGCGACUUAUAUUCUGUAGCAAGGUUAACCGAAUAGGGGAGCCGAAGGGAAACCGAGUCUUAACUGGGCGUUAAGUUGCAGGGUAUAGACCCGAAACCCGGUGAUCUAGCCAUGGGCAGGUUGAAGGUUGGGUAACACUAACUGGAGGACCGAACCGACUAAUGUUGAAAAAUUAGCGGAUGACUUGUGGCUGGGGGUGAAAGGCCAAUCAAACCGGGAGAUAGCUGGUUCUCCCCGAAAGCUAUUUAGGUAGCGCCUCGUGAAUUCAUCUCCGGGGGUAGAGCACUGUUUCGGCAAGGGGGUCAUCCCGACUUACCAACCCGAUGCAAACUGCGAAUACCGGAGAAUGUUAUCACGGGAGACACACGGCGGGUGCUAACGUCCGUCGUGAAGAGGGAAACAACCCAGACCGCCAGCUAAGGUCCCAAAGUCAUGGUUAAGUGGGAAACGAUGUGGGAAGGCCCAGACAGCCAGGAUGUUGGCUUAGAAGCAGCCAUCAUUUAAAGAAAGCGUAAUAGCU
rnacentral:rRNA from 1 species